UUUGAUCCGUGCGUACAGGAUGAACGCUGGCGGCGUGCCUAACACAUGCAAGUCGAACGAAGCAUGUAUGGAACUUACUUUCGAGGAAGGAAAUACAUGACUGAGUGGCGGACGGGUGAGUAACGCGUGGGUAACCUGCCGUAUACAGGGGGAUAACAGCCAGAAAUGGCUGCUAAUACCGCAUAAGCGCACAGCACCGCAUGGUGCAGUGUGAAAAACUCCGGUGGUAUACGAUGGACCCGCGUCUGAUUAGCUAGUUGGAGGGGUAAAGGCCCACCAAGGCGACGAUCAGUAGCCGGCCUGAGAGGGUGGACGGCCACAUUGGGACUGAGACACGGCCCAAACUCCUACGGGAGGCAGCAGUGGGGAAUAUUGCACAAUGAGGGAAACCCUGAUGCAGCGACGCCGCGUGAAGGAAGAAGUAUCUCGGUAUGUAAACUUCUAUCAGCAGGGAAGAAAAUGACGGUACCUGACUAAGAAGCUCCGGCUAAAUACGUG
rnacentral:rRNA from 1 species